UAAGAGGGGGGAGAGGGUGGGGUGGUAAUGCAGAGGGGGGAGGGGUGGUUGGUGAUGAGUGGGGGUGAGGGGGGCGGUGUCGGGUGGGUAAGGUGGGGUUGAAAGCGCCGGGCGCAACUCGGAGUCUGCCGCGGAAACUGCCAUGCUUGAGUGUGGGAGAGGUGAGUGGAAUGCCCGGUGUAGCGGUGAAAUGCGUAGAUAUCGGGAGGAACACCUGUGGCGAAAGCGGCUCACUGGACCACAACUGACGCUGAGGCGCGAAAGCUAGGGGAGCAAACAGGAUUAGAUACCCGGGUAGUC
rnacentral:rRNA from 1 species